GGCGGACGGGUGAGUAACGCGUAGGAAUCUGCCUCAUAGUGGGGGACAACGUGGGGAAACUCACGCUAAUACCGCAUACGCCCUACGGGGGAAAGCGGGGGAUCUUCGGACCUCGCGCUAUGAGAUGAGCCUGCGUUAGAUUAGCUAGUUGGUGGGGUAAAGGCCUACCAAGGCGACGAUCUAUAGCUGGUCUGAGAGGACGAUCAGCCACACUGGGACUGAGACACGGCCCAGACUCCUACGGGAGGCAGCAGUGGGGAAUAUUGGACAAUGGGCGAAAGCCUGAUCCAGCAAUACCGCGUGUGUGAAGAAGGCCUUAGGGUUGUAAAGCACUUUCAAUUGGGAGGAAAACCUACCGGUCAAUACCCGGUAGCUUGACAUUACCUUUAGAAGAAGCACCGGCUAACUCCGUGCCAGCAGCCGCGGUAAUACGGAGGGUGCGAGCGUUAAUCGGAAUUACUGGGCGUAAAGCGUGCGUAGGCGGUUCGUUAAGUCAGAUGUGAAAGCCCUGGGCUCAACCUGGGAACGGCAUUUGAAACUGGCGGACUAGAGUUUAGUAGAGGGGAGUGGAAUUUCAGGUGUAGCGGUGAAAUGCGUAGAUAUCUGAAGGAACACCAGUGGCGAAGGCGACUCCCUGGACUAGAACUGACGCUGAGGUACGAAAGCGUGGGUAGCAAACAGGAUUAGAUACCCUGGUAGUCCACGCUGUAAACGAUGUCGACUAGCCGUUGGUCCUAUUUACAGGAUUAGUGGCGCAGCUAACGCAUUAAGUCGACCGCCUGGGGAGUACGGCCGCAAGGUUAAAACUCAAAUGAAUUGACGGGGGCCCGCACAAGCGGUGGAGCAUGUGGUUUAAUUCGAUGCAACGCGAAGAACCUUACCUAC
rnacentral:rRNA from 1 species